GUGCUAGCUUUGGUGGCAGAUAGAUCCAAACUGGAAUGAUACGGAGAAGAUUAGAAUGGCCCCUGCACAAGGAUCACAUGCAAAUUUGUGAAGUGUAAAACAAAAAG
rnacentral:snRNA from 1 species